UACGAAGGGGGCUAGCGUUGCUCGGAAUCACUGGGCGUAAAGCGCACGUAGGCGGAUUGUUAAGUCAGGGGCGAAAUCCUGGAGCUCAACUCCAGAACUGCCUUUGAUACUGAGGAUCUUGAGUUCGGGAGAGGUGAGUGGAACUGCAAGUGUAGAGGUGAAAUUCGUAGAUAUUCGCAAGAACACCAGUGGCGAAGGCGGCUCACUGGCCCGAUACUGACGCUGAGGCACGAAAGCGUGGGGAGCAAACAGG
rnacentral:rRNA from 1 species